GUGGCUUAAUUGGUUAAAGCAUCGGACUAGUGACACGGAGUCGUGGGUUCAAAUCCCAUC
rnacentral:tRNA from 1 species